rnacentral:misc_RNA from 1 species
UGGUGAUAUAUUUUCUUCAAAGGUUGCGUAUACAUUACUCUCCUCGGACUCUACUCGUAAAAUUAUAAUGAAUUUAUUGUUGUUCAUCUUGUAUUAUUGAAGAGAUAAAAAGUGGGGUUCAUGUUUUUCUUACGUGGUUGUAAUCUUGCAAAAAAAAUCAAUGUUAUUAUAUUAUAUACUAGUAUUAUAUAGAUUGAUCUUUUAUUGAGGAUUGAGAUUUUGGAGUUUUAUGUUAUAUGUGAUACACUUUGAAGGUGCAAUUGUUAA